GAUGAAGAACGUAGCGAAAUGCGAUAAGUAAUGCGAAUUGCAGAAUUCAGUGAAUCAUCGAAUCUUUGAACGCACCUUGCGCUCCUUGGUAUUCCGAGGAGCAUGCCUGUUUGAGUGUCAUUAAAUUCUCAACCUUAUUGGCUUUUGCUGAUAAUGGCUUGGACUUGGGGGUCUUUUUGCUGGCUUUCAUUAGUCUGCUCCCCUUAAAUGUAUUAGCCGGUGCCCCGCAGUGGAACCGUCUAUUGGUGUGAUAAUUAUCUACGCCGUGGACGUCUGCUAUAAUGGGUUUGCGCUGCUUCUAACCGUCUCUCGGGACAACACAAAUGACAAUUUGACCUCAAAUCAGGUAGGACUACCCGCUGAACUUAAGCAUAUCAAUAAGCGGAGGA
rnacentral:misc_RNA from 1 species